rnacentral:lncRNA from 1 species
CUCCUCCAUUGACGAUCUAUAGAAACAACUAUAUACACUUAACCUAACUAUGCAGCAAGCUCUGUUCGCUUCUCUUUUAAAUAAAAAAACAAAACAUGUUAUUGGCAAAAUUUGUGCCACCAUUUGUGGCGCUAUUUUAUUUCUACUGUAAUUCUAAAUUUAUUUACAACAACUAUAAUGAUAAGCGAAGGUGGGGACCAAACAUUUGCCCCUUCACAUAAACAUAAAAGAAACAGAUUUAAAAUAAACAUUAUAACAAUAUAAAACUAAAAAGUUACAUUCUACUCAAGAUGUAAUAGCUAACAAAGUAACAUAAUGGCAUGAGUCUUCUAAAUACAAUGCUUUCAUAAACUUUCUCAAACUUUCUCCUGAGUUUUAGUAGUUUAAAAGGAGGUGGUUGGGGACGAGGCGGAAAUCAAUAAAAUGAAAAUUAAUUGAUUAAUCCUUUAAUCAAAAUUUUCAAUUAGUUCAAGAUCAGCAAGAAAUGCGUGCACAUCAAACUAAUCAAUAUUCAUGAGCAAUUAAUUUUAGACAAUAGCCGAAAUGACAUCGGGUUGGACAUUACACAAAUGCUCUGUUCUUCGCAUAAAUGUGUUAUUUAUUUUAUUCAUAACCCUAUUUUACCAAACAUUUGCCACCGAAUUGUGUCACAAUUCCCCCACCCGCAGCUGCAUGAAAAUAUAUCAAAACAUAAUCAUAUUGCAAAUAUAACACUAAAAGAGAAAUAUUAUACAUGUAUUACAACAACCUAUUUAAAUUGUCCAGUUUCUUUGUGACUGCUCAUGCUCGUCACCAAAUAAAGGUAGUGUGUGAAAAGUAUCAUAUAAAAAUACAUUUGUAUACUGUAUAUGGUUAUACAACAUUGCAUAAUUUAACCAUACAUUUGGAUACAAUUUUGCAAAAAUAAAAAUAAUGUUUAUAA